rnacentral:rRNA from 1 species
UACGAAGGGGGCUAGCGUUGCUCGGAAUUACUGGGCGUAAAGCGCGUGUAGGCGGUCCGGUAAGUCCGCUGUGAAAGUCGGGGGCUCAACCCUCGAAUGCCGGUGGAUACUGUCGGGCUAGAGUGCGGAAGAGGCGAGUGGAAUUCCUGGUGUAGCGGUGAAAUGCGCAGAUAUCAGGAGGAACACCAAUUGCGAAGGCAGCUCGCUGGGACGUAACUGACGCUGAGACGCGAAAGCGUGGGGAGCAAACAGG